rnacentral:tRNA from 1 species
GGUCGCGUAGCCAAGUGGUAAGGCAAUGGUCUGCAAAACCAUCAUCGGGAGUUCGAUUCUCCCCGCGACUU